ensembl:lncRNA
UCCUUCUACAUUCCUCCAACGAUUUAAUGAUAAAAAUAGAUUAUAUACUGGGAUACAUUCUGAAAACAGCGAGUUCUUUGGUUCACUCUGAUAGGAAGAGCCCAAAGCACCAGCCAUGUCAAGAAUCCCAAGAUGGCAGAGUUUCUGGACCUAUGGCACAGGCCCUGCUCCCUGGAAUUUUCUUUUCGCAGUCUCCCCAGACACAGCCCAUACCCACACCAGCCACUCUGAAGAGGUUUCCUCAGCCAGCAGGCCCUCUCCCUGUUACCAUGGCAGCAGCCAUUCUGGAGAACAAGAAGCCAAUACAAGGAGAAGACAAAGCCCAGACUGUGUGAUUCCUGUCUGCCCACUGCGAGAAGAAGGCCUUAAAAGAACCCUUCAGCAUAAGACUGCGAGAGCUGAUCACCAGUUUACUACUUCAAUCAUCGAGGUGUAACUGGAUCUAUGGGUCAUGAUUCCUGGUGGGUUAGAUGGCGCCUCGCCCCUCUCCCCAACAGCUCUACCCAUGUCAAAUCCCUGGAACUCAUGAAUGUUAACUUAUUUGGAAAAGGAGCUUUUACAGAUUUAAGGAUUUUGAAAUGAGACCAUCCUGGAUUGCCUGGGUGGGCCUUAACCCCAAUGACAAGUGAGUGUCCUUAAAAGAGGAGAAGACACAGAGAGUCAUAAGUGAUUGAAGACCAGCUUUUAGUGUGCAAACCCUAGAAUAAGGCACUGCAAACCAC